GAAGUUUGCAGAGAUGCGAAUGUGCCUUCGGGAACUGUGAGACAGGUGCUGCAUGGCUGUCGUCAGCUCGUGUUGUGAAAUGUUGGGUUAAGUCCCGCAACGAGCGCAACCCUUAUCCUUUGUUGCCAGCGGUCCGGCCGGGAACUCAAAGGAGACUGCCAGUGAUAAACUGGAGGAAGGUGGGGAUGACGUCAAGUCAUCAUGGCCCUUACGACCAGGGCUACACACGUGCUACAAUGGCGCAUACAAAGAGAAGCGACCUCGCGAGAGCAAGCGGACCUCAUAAAGUGCGUCGUAGUCCGGACUGGAGUCUGCAACUCGACUCCAUGAAGUCGGAAUCGCUAGUAAUCGUGGAUCAGAAUGCCACGGUGAAUACGUUCCCGGGCCUUGUACACACCGCCCGUCACACCAUGGGAGUGGGUUGCAAAAGAAGUAGGUAGCUUAACCUUCGGGAGGGCGCUUACCACUUUGUGAUUCAUGACUGGGGUGAAGUCGUAACAAGGUAACCGUAGGGGAACCUGCGGUUGGA
rnacentral:rRNA from 3 species